AUCCUUUCCUACUCAUGUAGGAAAGCUGAAAGACGGUUUACGCUGUCACUUACAGAUGGGCCCGCGGCGCAUUAGAUAGUUGGUGAGGUAACGGCUCACCAAGGCGACGAUGCGUAGCCGACCUGAGAGGGUGAUCGGCCACACUGGGACUGAGACACGGCCCUGACUCCUACGGGAGGCAGCAGUAGGGAAUCUUCCGCAAUGGACGAAAGUCUGACGGAGCAACGCCGCGUGAGAGAUGAAG
rnacentral:rRNA from 1 species